CCUUGUACACACCGCCCGUCAAGUCAUGGAAGCUGGUAGCGCCCGAAGUCCGUUUAGCCAACCGUAACAGGAGGCGACGGCCGACGGCAAGACCGGUGACUGGGACU
rnacentral:rRNA from 1 species